rnacentral:rRNA from 1 species
AUUGAACGCUGGCGGCAUGCUUUACACAUGCAAGUCGAACGGUAACAGGCCGCAAGGUGCUGACGAGUGGCGAACGGGUGAGUAAUGCAUCGGAACGUGCCCAGUCGUGGGGGAUAACGCAGCGAAAGCUGCGCUAAUACCGCAUACGAUCUAUGGAUGAAAGCGGGGGACCGUAAGGCCUCGCGCGAUUGGAGCGGCCGAUGUCAGAUUAGGUAGUUGGUGGGGUAAAGGCUCACCAAGCCAACGAUCUGUAGCUGGUCUGAGAGGACGACCAGCCACACUGGGACUGAGACACGACCCAGACUCCGACGGGAGGCAGCAGUGGGGAAUUUUGGACAAUGGGCGCAAGCCUGAUCCAGCAAUGCCGCGUGCAGGAAGAAGGCCUUCGGGUUGUAAACUGCUUUUGUACGGAACGAAAAGGCUCUGGUUAAUACCUGGGGCUCAUGACGGUACCGUAAGAAUAAGCACCGGCUAACUACGUGCCAGCCGCCGCUGUAAGAC